UACAGAGGGGGCAAGCGUUGUUCGGAAUUACUGGGCGUAAAGGGCGCGUAGGCGGCCUUCUAAGUCGAACGUGAAAUCCCCGGGCUCAACCCGGGAACUGCGUCCGAGACUGGAAGGCUUGAAUCCGGGAGAGGGAUGUGGAAUUCCAGGUGUAGCGGUGAAAUGCGUAGAUAUCUGGAGGAACAUCGGUGGCGAAGGCGGCAUCCUGGUCCAGCACCGACGUUCAGGCACGAAAGCGUGGGGAGCAAACAGG
rnacentral:rRNA from 1 species